rnacentral:tRNA from 1 species
GGGCGUGUUCCAGAGUGGCCAAAUGGGGCAGACUGUAAAUCUGCUGGCUAUGCCUUCGGUGGUUCGAAUCCAUCCGCGCCCA